GGGAUUGUGGCUCAGUGGCAGAGCACUUGCCUCACAUGUAUGAGGCACUGGGUUCAAUCCUCAGCACCA
rnacentral:tRNA from 1 species